UACGAACUGCGCGAACGUUAUUCGGAAUCACUGGGCUUAAAGGGUGCGUAGGCGGCCUGUUAAGUAGGGUGUGAAAUCUGUCGGCUCAACCGGCAGACUGCAUUCUAAACUGGCAGGCUUGAGUGAGUCAGGGGUGUGCGGAACUUCCGGUGGAGCGGUGAAAUGCGUUGAUAUCGGAAGGAACGCCGGUGGCGAAAGCGGCACACUGGGGCUUUUCUGACGCUGAGGCACGAAAGCCAGGGGAGCGAACAGG
rnacentral:misc_RNA from 1 species